rnacentral:lncRNA from 1 species
GUGAAAUAUAUAUGAUUUAUACAUGCAUGAUGAGUUUAUAACUUGUUUUGUUAUAUACUCUAUGACUGUUAUUUUCUAAAUAUUACAUUAUUAUGAAAAAUUUAUACUUGAUCUGAUAAGGAAGCGCAAGUUCUACUUACUGGACUAGUGUAGCUCAUAUUCUUUUUGUUUUCUUUUUGAACCGAGAAAUAAGGUUAGGAUCGGCAAAAAGAAUCCAAGCUUGAA